GUCUGAGGGAAGCCGGGUCUGUGGGGGGAGAAUCCUGUCUGAGGGAAGCGGGGUGUGUCGGGGGGAGAAGCCUGUCUGAGGAGGGAAGCGGGGUGUGUGGGGGGAGAAGCCUGUCUGAGGGAAGCGGGGUGUGUGGGGGGAGAAUCCUGUCUGAGGGAAGCGGGGUGUGUGGGGGGAGAAUCCUGUCUGAGGGAAGCGGGGUGUGUGGGGGGAGAAUCCUGUCUGAGGGAAGCGGGGUGUGUGUGGGGAGAAUCCUGUCUGAGGGAAGCGGGGUGUGUGGGGGGAGAAGCCUGUCUGAGGAGGGAAGCGGGGUGUGUGGGGGGAGAAUCCUGUCUGAGGGAAGCGGGGUGUGUGGGGGGAGAAUCCUGUCUGAGGAGGGAAGCGGGGUGUGUGGGGGGAGAAGCCUGUCUGAGGAGGGAAGCGGGGUGUGUGAGAGAACUCUGAGGGACGCAGGAUCUGGGGGAGAGGAAUCAUGUCUACGGGGUGAGCAGGGUCUAAAGGAAGAGGCCAACCCGCCUAGGGACUGUCAGCGCGUUGAAAACCUGGGUGACAGCUUCCGGAGGAUGUUUGGAGGCCGCGAGGACUGGCGCGAACCACCGUGAAACCCAUUCGCCACUCCCAAGGCGCGCACAGGGAAAGUUGAUGCCACGGCUGACACCUUAAGACCGCUUGAGCCCAGGAGUUGGCUGCAGUGAGCUAUGAUCGCGCCCCUGCACUCCUGCCUGGGAUGGCAGAGCGAGGCCCUGUCUUUAAAAUAAAAUUUAAAAAGAAAGAAAAAACAAAGUUGGUGCUGGCAGUGCACAGGGCCAGGUGUGGGCGUCCUUUAGGAAUAUUUGCUGUGGGCCGGGCGCGGUGGCUCAAGCCUGUAAUCCCAGCACUUUGGGAGGCCGAGACGGGCGGAUCACGAGGUCAGGAGAUCGAGACCAUCCUGGCUAACAUGGUGAAACCCCGUCUCUACUAAAAAUACAAAAAACUAGCCGGGCGUGGUGGCGGGCGCCUGUAGUCCCAGCUACUCGGAGGCUGAGGCAGGAGAAUGGCGUGAACCUGGGAGGCGGAGCUUGCAGUGAGCCGAGAUCACGCCACUGCACUCCAGCCUAGGUGACACAGCGCGAGACUCCGUCUCAAAAAAAAAAAAAAAAAAAAAGGAAUAUUUGCUGUGGCCAGGCACGGUGGCUCACGCCUGUAAUCCCAGCACUUUGGGAGGCCCAGGUGGGCGGAUCACCUGAGGUCGGGAGUUGGCCACCAGCCUGACCAAUAUGAUGAAAUCCCAUCUCUACUAAAAAUACAAAAAUUAGACGGGCAUGGUGGCACACGCCUGUAAUCCCAGCUACUCUGGAGGCUGAGACAGGAGAAUCGCUUGAACCUGGGAGGCAGAAGUUGCAGUGAGCUGAGAUUGCCCCAUUGCACUCCAGCCUGGGCAACAAGAGCAAAACUCUGUCUCAAAAAAAAAAAACCAAAAGGAAUAUUUGGUGAGCAUUUUCCACGGCCCUAUCCUGCACUUGUCCCCAGAAUCACCUGAGAGGGGGAUAUGUGACCCACACCUGCCUCUGGCCUCUAGGGCAGACAAGGGUACCAGGGCCAGGUCAAAAUAUUAAUACUAUGGUACAAAGUGUGGAAAUGUCUCUCCUAGGAGCUGCCCCAAACACUUGCAGGAAGGCAGUUGAGCAGAAACAAGUCCAAGGUCCCUGAGGCAAUAGGGAGGCAAUAGUGAGGAGUAGUGGGAGGUGCUCAGAGAGGUUACUAUACAGCUAGCAGGGUCUGGGGUAGGUUGGAUCCCCUGCCACCCUAUCAUCGGCUGCCCCUCAUAACAGGCCCUCCCCUAGGCCCUGGCAACACGCCUUGGGGUUUCAGUGGCCCAUCAAGGUCCAUGCUCUUCUCUCUGCACAAUAGAGAGGAACUGUAAGAGUACCCCUUUUCCUCCCCCUGGGCCCAGGACCUUCAUCCCCAGUAUGAGGCCGCCCCACAAGCAGCAGGUGUUACCCAACGCCAGCAGCAGACCUUGGUGCAUCACUUCUCCACCAGGUGCCACACCACUGUGGAGCCCCAUUGUCCACAUGGAGAAUCUGAGGCUUCAGGAAGUGCCAGGACACCAGUGGGGGAAGGGAGAUUAACUAGAAAACAGGCUCAGGCUGACUCAGGGACAGCAGAGUGGGGCUUCUUACGAUUGGCCAAGCCAAGGUGGGUAUAUAGGAGAAUAAGACUAGGGACCUCACUCAGAGGUCCAUAAGUAUAUGGCAGGACACUAGUGCACCUUGGUUGGCUUUGCUUCCCAGUUGGACCAGCAAAGAGGUCAGUGUCGCCUUAUACUUCUGUCUUCCAUGCUCCUUGCCAACCCUUUACCGCAUCUCUCCCUUCCCAGUCCUGGAUCAUUGGGAACUGUCAAUAUUUUGGCUUUGCAGACAGGGCGUAAGACAGGUGUAGCAAUAUGCAGUGGUCAGGUCACUCAGACUGCACCCAGGCAAGCUGAGGACUGCCUACUGCCUGGUUGUGCCGCCUACCUGAAUAUAGCCAUCGUUACCCUCUCUUUCUUCCUCAAACCCCACACCUGUGUGUGCUCUCCUUCCCACCCUUAGGUGUCACCCCCAAAGCCACUUUCUGAGGAGGCAUUGUGGCUACAUCACUCAAAUUUAUUUUUUCUUCUUUUUUCUUUUUUUUGAGAUGGAAUCUUGCUCUGUCGCCCAGGCUGGAAUGCAGUGGUGUGAUCUUGGCUCACUGCAACCUAUGCCUCCUGAGUUCAAGCGAUUCUCCUGCCUCAGCCUCCUGAGUAGCUGGGAUUACAGGCGCCCACUACCACACCUGGAUAAUUUUUGUAUACUUUUUUUUUUUUGAGACGGAGUCUUGCUCUGUCUCCCAGCCUGGAGUGCAGUGGCGCAAUCUUGGCUCACUGCAAACUCCGCCUCCCAGGUUCACGCCAUUCUCCUGCCUUAGUCUCCUGAGUAGCUGGGACUACAGGCGCCUACUACCAUGCCCGGCUAAUUUAUUUGUAUUUUCAGUAGAGACGAGUUUCACCAUGUUAGCCAGGAUGGUCUCGAUCUCCUGAACUCGUGAUCCGCCCGUCUCGGCCUCUCAAAGUGCUGGGAUUACAGGUGUGCCCCAUCAUACCUGGCCAACUUUUGUAUUCUUAGUAGAAAGGGGGUUUCACCAUGUUGGCCAGGCUGGUCUGGAACUCCUGACCUCAGGUGAUCUGCCUGCCUACCUAGGAUUACAGGCAUGAGCAUGAGCCACCAUGCCUUGCCUUUUUUUUUUUUUUUUUGAGAUGGAGUUUCACUCUUGUUGCCUAGGAUGGAGUGCAAUGGCAUGAUCUCUGCUCACUGCAACUUCUGCCUCCCAAGUUUAAGAGAGUCUUCUGCCCCAGCCUCCCAAGUAGCUGGAAUUACAGGUGUCCACCACCACACCCGACUUAUUUUUUGUAUUUUUAGUAGAGACAGGGUUUCACCAUGUUGGCCAGUCUGGUCUCGAACUCCUGACCUCAGGUGAUCCACCCGCCUCAGCCUCACAGAGUGGUGAGAUUAUAGGCGUGAGCUAUCGCGCCGGGACUUCUUUUUUAUUUUAUUUUUAUUUAUUUAUUUAUUUAUUUUAGAGACGGAGGCUCACUCUGUGACCCAGGCUGGAGUGCAGUAGUACGAUUUCGGCUUGCUGCAAACUCCGCCUCCCGGGUUCACAUCAUUCUCUUGCCUCAGCCUCCCGAGUAGCUGGGACUACAGGUGCCCGCCACCACACUCGGCUAAUUUUUUGUAUUUUUAGUAGAGACAGGGUUUCACUGUGUUAGCCAGGAUGGUCUCUAUCUCCUGACCUCGUGAUCCGCCUGCCUCGGCCUCCUGAAGUGCUGGGAUUACAGUUGUGAGCCACCGCACCUGUCCUAUUUAUUUAUUUUUUAAACGGAGUCUCAUUCGGUCACCCAGGCUGCAGUGCAGUAAUGUGAACUUGGCUCACUGCGACCUCCUCCUCCCAGGUUCAAGCAAUUCUCAUUCCUCAGCCUUCUGAGUAGCUGGGACUACAGGCACGCACCACCAUGCCCAGCUAAUUUUUGUAUUUUUAGUAGAGACAGGGUUUCACCAUUUGGGCCAAACUUGUCUCAAACUCCUGACCUGAGGUGAUCUGCCCACCUCAGCCUCCCAAAGUGCUGGGAUUACAGGUGUGAGCCACCAUACCUGCCCUCAAAUUUCUGUCUCUGUCUUCACAUGACUUUCUUUGUGUCCUCUCUUCCUAUUUAUAUAUUAAAUUUAUAGAGACCAUUUUGCUCUGUCACCUAGGUUGAGUGCAGUGGUGCCUCGAACUCCUCACCUCAAGGGAUUAUCCAAUCUCAGCCUUCCAAGUACCUAGGUCAACACCAUGUCCAGCUUUUUUUUUUUUUUUUU
rnacentral:lncRNA from 10 species